GGCCGAUCUGCCCCGUGGAGCAAAAGAGGUUGCCCCUCCCGCAGAGAAAACUCUCGACUUUGAUGACUGAUGGAAGUAGUUGGCUUAAGCACAAUGUCUUAGCAAGGGAGCUGGUACCUUUAUGAGGCACAAUGCUGUCCUCUGGUGGGGAAAAGAGGGACCGACCGAGUCGACGCAAGGCCACAGCGGGCCUGAAAAGACAUUUGGUCGUUCUGCCUCAGGCGAAGAGGCGAUGACUUGUGGGUCUGAGCGCCAACAGAGCCCGUCACUCUGAUGCCCAUCAGAGAAAAAAGUCCAUGUGACCUUCACUCUGCCUGAUAACACUAUGCACAUCCCCGCAUCAAUGAACUGUUCCCUCAGUCUAUCGCCUGCAGAGUGAUGCCAAUCUGGCUCACACCGGAAGGACCUUUUUACAGCAUCCUCCGAUAACAGACACUGUGACGUGUGAGCGAAGAUUUUCCACACAUUUGCUCUCUGACGGCCGGAGCGACGGCGAAGAUGACAGAGGGAGGGGGUCGUCAUGGCGAUCAUGUGUCCUUGCUGAGUGUCACAGACUGCAGAUGAUGCAGAUCCUGUUUGUGAAAUGCCUCUUUAACUUCACAAUGAUGUGUUUCAUGACCAUAUUGGACGACAGUGUAAUGCUGCAUGACACGCUUCAGUUUAAUAUACUUUUCGUAUGACUUUUUAUAUCAAACCAUUUUAUUAUUCUUUCUUUUCUUUACACUGAAUUUAUGUUU